CCCUUAGAUGUUCUGGGCCGCACGCGCGCUACACUGUUCGACGCAGCGAGUCUUAACCUUGACCGAAAGGUUUGGGUAAUCUUCAGCAAAGUCGAACGUGAUGGGGAUCGAUCAUUGCAAUUAUUGAUCGUGAACGAGGAAUUCCUAGUAAGUGCAGGUCAUCAGCUUGCGCUGAUUACGUCCCUGCCCUUUGUACACACCGCCCGUCGCUACUACCGAUUGAAUGGUUUAGUGAGAUCUCUGGAUUGACGCUGGCUAGGGGGCGACCCUUGGCCAGGCUGUCGAGAAACUGCUCAAACUUGAUCAUUUAGAGGAAGUAAAAGUCGUAACA
rnacentral:rRNA from 1 species